rnacentral:tRNA from 2 species
GGGGCCGUAGGGUAGCCUGGCAUCCUCCCAGCCUGGGGCGCUGGUGACCCGGGUUCGAAUCCCGGCGGCCCCACCA